UGAAUCAGUGUGUGUGUUAGUGGAAGCGUCUGGAAAGGCGUGCGAUACAGGGUGACAGCCCCGUACACAAAAAUGCACAUAUUGUGAGCUCGAUGAGUAGGGCGGGACACGUGGUAUCCUGUCUGAAUAUGGGGGGACCAUCCUCCAAGGCUAAAUACUCCUGACUGACCGAUAGUGAACCAGUACCGUGAGGGAAAGGCGAAAAGAACCCCGGCGAGGGGAGUGAAAAAGAACCUGAAACCGUGUACGUACAAGCAGUGGGAGCCUCUUAAUGGGGUGACUGCGUACCUUUUGUAUAAUGGGUCAGCGACUUAUAUUCUGUAGCAAGGUUAACCGAAUAGGGGAGCCGAAGGGAAACCGAGUCUUAACUGGGCGUUAAGUUGCAGGGUAUAGACCCGAAACCCGGUGAUCUAGCCAUGGGCAGGUUGAAGGUUGGGUAACACUAACUGGAGGACCGAACCGACUAAUGUUGAAAAAUUAGCGGAUGACUUGUGGCUGGGGGUGAAAGGCCAAUCAAACCGGGAGAUAGCUGGUUCUCCCCGAAAGCUAUUUAGGUAGCGCCUCGUGAAUUCAUCUCCGGGGGUAGAGCACUGUUUCGGCAAGGGGGUCAUCCCGACUUACCAACCCGAUGCAAACUGCGAAUACCGGAGAAUGUUAUCACGGGAGACACACGGCGGGUGCUAACGUCCGUCGUGAAGAGGGAAACAACCCAGACCGCCAGCUAAGGUCCCAAAGUCAUGGUUAAGUGGGAAACGAUGUGGGAAGGCCCAGACAGCCAGGAUGUUGGCUUAGAAGCAGCCAUCAUUUAAAGAAAGCGUAAUAGCUCACUGGUCGAGUCGGCCUGCGCGGAAGAUGUAACGGGGCUAAACCAUG
rnacentral:rRNA from 1 species